rnacentral:lncRNA from 1 species
GGAGCUCAUAAGCAACUCUUCACAUUUUCUUCACAUUUUGAUAUAGACAACACUCUGUUAAGCCUGUUUAAAGUAUUUUAUGAUGAUAUAUCUUCUGGUGAAUCUUCUUUAUCCAAUGUGCCCAUUUCUCCACAGAAAGGAGGUCUGUGGGAGGAGAGGCCUUUGGCUGGCAGCACUGGGAAUCUAGCACCUAUGCUGAUCACUUGGGGAAAGAAAGAUGCUACCACCACCAGAAGAGCUACAGAAUCCUCCUACCUCUCUCAAGUGUGCCUCUCCCCAGUGCCAUGGGGAGGCCAUGCCUUGAAAUAGCGUGAGAGCCAAAACCCACAUUUUCAGAAAAAAAAAAGGAACAAAUAAAUUAAGCUUCUGCCACCCACCUCCCUUCUGUGCAGCUCAGGAAAACCAAGUGAAAUAAACAAGCACAUUAGAGGCUGGUACGUGAGCG